rnacentral:rRNA from 1 species
CCUACGGGAGGCUGCAGUGGGGAAUAUUGGGCAAUGGGCGAAAGCCUGACCCAGCCACGCCGCGUGAAUGAAGAAGGCUUUCGGGUUGUAAACUUCUUUUGACAGGGAAGAUCAGAAGACGGUAACUAUCGAAUACACCACAGCUAACUACGUGCCAACAGCCGCGGUAAUACGUAGGGGGCAGGCGUUGUACGGAUUUACGGGGUGUCAAGGGCGUGUAGCCGGGCUGUAAAGUCAGAUGUGAAAUCCCGGGGCUCAACCCCCGAAUUGCAUUUGAAACUGUUGGUCUUGAGUAUCGGAGAGGCAGGCAGAAUUCCUAGUGUAGCGGUGAAAUGCGUAGAGAUUAGGAGGAACACCAGUGGCGAAGGCGGCCUGCUGGACGACAACUGACGGUGAGGCGCGAAAGCGUGGGGAGCAAACAGGAUUAGAUACCCUGGUAGUC